CCCUUAGAUGUUCUGGGCCGCACGCGCGCUACACUGACUGGUGCAACAAGUGUCUGACCUUGGCUCGAGAGGCCUGGGCAACCUUUGAACGCCAGUCGUGCUGGGGAUAGAUUCUUGCAAUUAUUAAUCUUCAACGAGGAAUUCCUAGUAAACGCAAGUCAUCAGCUUGCAUUGAUUACGUCCCUGCCCUUUGUACACACCGCCCGUCGCACCUACCGAUUGAAUGGUCCGGUGAAGCCUCCGGAUUGCGCGGCUUCGGCUGUCGCGAGAAGUUGGCUAAACCUUACCAUUUAGAGGAAGGUGAANUCGUAAC
rnacentral:rRNA from 1 species